AUUGAACGCUGGCGGAAUGCUUUACACAUGCAAGUCGAACGGCAGCACGGGGCAACCUGGUGGCGAGUGGCGAACGGGUGAGUAAUACAUCGGAACGUGCCCAAUCGUGGGGGAUAACGUAGCGAAAGUUACGCUAAUACCGCAUACGAUCUACGGAUGAAAGCGGGGGAUCGCAAGGCCUCGCGCGAAUGGAGCGGCCGAUGUCAGAUUAGGUAGUUGGUGGGGUAAAGGCUCACCAAGCCAACGAUCUGUAGCUGGUCUGAGAGGACGACCAGCCACACUGGAACUGAGACACGGUCCAGACUCCUACGGGAGGCAGCAGUGGGGAAUUUUGGACAAUGGGCGCAAGCCUGAUCCAGCCAUUCCGCGUGCAGGAUGAAGGCCUUCGGGUUGUAAACUGCUUUUGUACGGAACGAAACGGUCUGCCCUAAUACGGCGGGCUAAUGACGGUACCGUAAGAAUAAGCACCGGCUAACUACGUG
rnacentral:rRNA from 1 species